rnacentral:tRNA from 1 species
GGCGAGGUAGCUCAAUCGGCAGAGCAGGGGACUCAUAAGCCCUUGGUUGGGAGUUCAAAUCUCCCCCUCGCCACCU